UUGGAGGGCAAGUCUGGUGCCAGCAGCCGCGGUAAUUCCAGCUCCAAUAGCGUAUAUUAAAGUUGUUGCAGUUAAAAAGCUCGUAGUUGAAUUUCGGGGUUAGUAGGUUGGUCAUGCCUCUGGUAUGUACUGGUCUCACUGAUUCCUCCUUCCUUAUGAACCGUAAUGCCAUUAAUUUGGUGUUGCGGGGAAUUUGGACUGUUACUUUGAAAAAAUUAGAGUGUUUAAAGCAAGCUAACGCUUGAAUACAUCAGCAUGGAAUAAUGAAAUAGGACGUUCGAUCUUAUUUUGUUGGUUUCUAGGAUUGACGUAAUGAUUAAUAGGGAUAGUUGGGGGCAUUAGUGUUCAAUUGUCAGAGGUGAAAUUCUUGGAUUUAUUGAAGACUAACUACUGCGAAAGCAUUUGCCAAGGAUGUUUUCAUUAGUCAAGAACGAAAGUUAGGGGAUCGAAGACGAUCAGAUACCGUCGUAGUCUUAACCAUAGACUAUGCCGACUAGGGAUCGGAUGAUGUUAAUUUUUUAAUGACUCAUUCGGCGCCUUACGGGAAAC
rnacentral:rRNA from 1 species